rnacentral:rRNA from 1 species
AGCUCCAAUAGCGUAUAUUAAAGUUGCUGCGUUUAAAAAGCUCGUAGUUGGAUCUCAGUCUCGAUCGGUCGGUCCAUCCUCUGGGUGGUUACUGGCUCAAUCGGACGUUGUUGGCCACGUUUCCGAGCAUGCUCUUCAUUGAGUGUGUUCCGGAGAGUGGAGCGUUUACUUUGAAAAAAUUAGAGUGCUCAAAGCAGGCGUUGUGCCUGGAUAGUCGUGCAUGGAAUGAUGGAAUAGGGCCUCGGUUCUAUUUUGUUGGUUUUCGGAGCGCGAGGUAAUGAUUAAGAGGGACAGACGGGGGCAUUCGUACUGUGCCGUUAGAGGUGAAAUUCUUGGAUCGGCGCAAGACGAACGACUGCGAAAGCAUUUGCCAAGAAUGUUUUCUUUAAUCAAGAACGAA